AAUAGAUACCCAGGUAGUCCACGCCGUAAACGAUGAGUGCUAAGUGUUAGAGGGUUUCCGCCCUUUAGUGCGUGCAGCUAACGCAUUAAGCACUCCGCCUGGGGAGUACGGCCGCAAGGCUGAAACUCAAAGGAAUUGACGGGGGCCCGCACAAGCGGUGGAGCAUGUGGUUUAAUUCGAAGCAACGCGAAGAACCUUACCAGGUCUUGACAUCCUCUGACAACCCUAGAGAUAGGGCUUUCCCCUUCGGGGGACAGAGUGACAGGUGGUGCAUGGUUGUCGUCAGCUCGUGUCGUGAGAUGUUGGGUUAAGUCCCGCAACGAGCGCAACCCUUGAUCUUAGUUGCCAGCAUUCAGUUGGGCACUCUAAGGUGACUGCCGGUGACAAACCGGAGGAAGGUGGGGAUGACGUCAAAUCAUCAUGCCCCUUAUGACCUGGGCUACACACGUGCUACAAUGGAUGGUACAAAGGGCUGCAAACCUGCGAAGGUAAGCGAAUCCCAUAAAAGCCAUUCUCAGUUCGGAUUGCAGGU
rnacentral:rRNA from 1 species